GAUGAAAACGCAGCGAAAUGCGAUAAGUAAUGUGAAUUGCAGAAUUCAGUGAAUCAUCGAAUCUUUGAACGCACAUUGCGCCCUUUGGCAUUCCGAAGGGCACACCUGUCCGAGCGCCGUCGCACAACUGAGGCGCAGCCUUGCGUUGGCAGGCGACUUGUGAGUAGCGAGUCGCCGCCCAAACGAGACGGCGCCGCGCCGCGGCCGACGAAGCACGAAAGCGGAAGUCGACGCGGAGGCGGUUGCCUGUAGGAAGACACAGCUUGGCCUCGGAUCAGGUGGGGAUACCCGCUGAACUUAAGCAUAUCAAUAAGCGGAGGA
rnacentral:misc_RNA from 1 species